rnacentral:rRNA from 1 species
CGUGAGAUGUUGGGUUAAGUCCCGCAACGAGCGCAACCCUUGUCCUUAGUUGCCAUCAUUCAGUUGGGAACUCUAAGGAGACCGCCGGUGACAAACCGGAGGAAGGUGGGGAUGACGUCAAGUCAUCAUGGCCCUUAUGGCCAGGGCUACACACGUACUACAAUGGUCGGUACAGAGGGUCGCCAACCCGCAAGGGGGAGCCAAUCCCACAAAACCGAUCGUAGUCCAGAUUGGAGUCUGCAACUCGACUCCA